UUGCUCUCGGGUGACGAGCGGCGGACGGGUGAGUAAUGUCUGGGAAACUGCCUGAUGGAGGGGGAUAACUACUGGAAACGGUAGCUAAUACCGCAUAAUGUCGCAAGACCAAAGUGGGGGACCUUCGGGCCUCAUGCCAUCAGAUGUGCCCAGAUGGGAUUAGCUAGUAGGUGGGGUAACGGCUCACCUAGGCGACGAUCCCUAGCUGGUCUGAGAGGAUGACCAGCCACACUGGAACUGAGACACGGUCCAGACUCCUACGGGAGGCAGCAGUGGGGAAUAUUGCACAAUGGGCGCAAGCCUGAUGCAGCCAUGCCGCGUGUGUGAAGAAGGCCUUCGGGUUGUAAAGCACUUUCAGCGGGGAGGAAGGCGUUAAGGUUAAUAACCUUGUCGAUUGACGUUACCCGCAGAAGAAGCACCGGCUAACUCCGUGCCAGCAGCCGCGGUAAUACGGAGGGUGCAAGCGUUAAUCGGAAUUACUGGGCGUAAAGCGCACGCAGGCGGUCUGUCAAGUCGGAUGU
rnacentral:rRNA from 1 species